CAAUCCAGUAUGAUUUGGUUUCUUUAUAAGAAGAGGGAAAUUUGGACCCAGACACAGAGGAGAAGGUCGUGUGAUGACAGAGGUAGAGAUGGGAGUGAUCAAGAAUGGCAAGGUUGGCCAGCACCCACCAGAAGUUAGGGAGAGUCAAGGAAGGCUCUUCCCUGCAGACUCGAGAGGGACCGUGGCCCUGCGGACACAUUGAUUUUGGAUUUCCAGCUUCCAGAAACAGAGAAACAGAGACAGAGUGCAGACAGGGGAGGGCCCGAGAGAGAGGGAGACACAGUAAUUCGAAGCAGGCUCCAGGCUCUGAACUGUCAGCACAGAGCCCGAUGCGGGGCUCAAGUUCACGGACUACGAGAUCAUGACCUGAGCUGAAGUCGGACGCUCGACCUACUGGGCCACCCAGAGAGAAAACACAUGGAAGGGGGUGAGACAGAGAGAAUCCCCAGCAGCCUCUGCACUGUCAGUGCAGAGCCCAAUGCGGGGCUCCAUUGCACGAACAGUGAGGUCGUGACCUGCACCAAAAUUGAGACUCUGAUGCUUAACCAGCUGAGCCACCCAGCCGCCCCUUUACACUUAUAUCUUUAAGUAAUCUCUACACCCGACGCGGGGCUCGAACUCACGAACCGCGAGAUCAUGCCCCGAGCCGAAGUCAAGAUGCCUAACUGAGCCACCUGGGCGCCCUGUCAUUGUUGCUUUUUUAAAAAAAACUACCCCUGUCCAGCUUUGCUGAGGUAAAAGGUGAAAGCAACUGAGUGUCCAUCCACGGAGGAGUGGAUAGGAAGAAUGUGGCCCGUUCGUACACUGGAAGAUUCUUCAGCCUUAAAAAGGAAGGCUGUCCUGACCCCAGCUACAACAUGGACGAACCUGGAGGACGUUACGCUGAGUGAGGCUCAGCGUAACACCUGACGGAAGGAAGAAGCCCAAGAACGAUUUGUUAAAAGAAACAACGGAUGAGAGAAUAAAUCGGGAACUGAAAUGUGAAUAGGAACGGACGUAGCAUGCAGCCAAGGAAAUAUGGAAGAAUGUUACACAGACAAGUCAAGGAAGUCAAGGCCACUACAGUUCAGCUGACGGGGGAAUCUUUUUCAGAUGGACCAUAAGCAGGAAGUGAGUCUCCCAUCCAGGAGCAGGUGAGACUUUCUUUCAGCCCCAGGGAGAGGACUCAGAUAGAGGCUCCCCCAAAAGACCCCUCCUCCAGGAAGCCUGCCUGGAACGUUUUCCCUUUUCAGCCUGACUGAACUCAUCCGGUGCCUUGGACACUUAAACAUACUGGCUGUCUCAGGUGCACUCGAGGGUCAGCGUACCCCUGCCGUGGAGGAGUCUGGCAGACCGAGCCUCAGACAGGAGAGAACAACGAAACAGCCAUUUCCUUCCUCGUUGGGGUCCUGUGAGCUGUGGUCGCCAGCAGGGAGGAGGUAUGACAUUGCCAUGCAGCACAGCGCCCCAGCCCCAGCCCCUGGUGUGUCCCUGGAGCCUUGGUCCUGUCCUCCCCCAAACUCGGUGGGGUUCUGGGGCCACGCCCUGCAUCCCUGCACCGUGCAAACAGCAUUCUUGCCUCCAAAGGCUCUUGAGGUCCCCCUUCCCUUGGGGGAGGGCUCUCGGUGUCCAUUUGGCCUAGCUGGAGGCCCUUCUCCUCUGGGGACGGGUGGGGACUCUUGUCCUUCUGCAGUCUUCCACCCGAACUCUCUCUUGGGCCCCUGGCCACUUCUGUCCAUCCCCGCGGCUGCUGCCUGUGGACUCGGCAGCCACAUAACGUACAGCUUUAUGUCUGCGCUUUAGAAACAACCACCGUCACCCUCACCGAAUCACCAUCCCCGAGAAUAACCUGCUCCUGCCUUCACCCCCUUUGCCCUCACAGUCAAACAAAAGCUGCCGAUAACCUCAGUCAUGGCACCCGCUGUCGACGUCACACAGAACAGGGAACGGGUCCCGCCGCCAAGUUCCCUACCGUCGCCACCGCCACGGCCACGCUCACAGCACUGGCCAUCCACGGCCACACACGACCAACUUCCACUAAGGCCGCCGUUCCCACACCACCAUCGCCAGGGCGGUCGUCAAAAAUCAGCAGCGGACGACCAACAGCCAAAAGUGCUGCCAUCACCGCCCCACUCGGGGCAAGAGCGGCCACCGACUACCGUCAUUCCACGGAUCAGCCCUGGAGACGACCAGCCACCAACCACAGAUCAACACCGGCUGACAGGCGGCAACCAUCGCCCCUGCCGACACGCACCCACGGGACUCACAGUGACCGCCAACUUGCGACGACCGUGGGCGAUGACCACCAUCACUCCCCUCCGCCUCCCCGGGCACCCACCACCCAUCAUUCAACAGCAACCGAGAGUCGCCUCCCCCGGCUGCCAUCACCAACGACAGCAAUGAAUGGGCAUCGCCCACGGGGACUGCAUCGAGGGCACAGCGCGUGGCUUGGGGAAGCACUUGAAGAACACUGCUCCGUUGACUCCUUCGACACUCUUCCCGGCACUCAUCGCCCCCUCCAGGAAGCAGUCGGCACCCCUGGAUGGAAGUUUUGGCCUCGUGGAUGGGGUCUGCCCUCUGUUUUCCCCUCCGUGGUCCUCUUGGGUUGAGUUUCUCCCUUCCCGCAACCCGCCAGGAGAGCAAACCGUUGACUAAGCAUUUUGUACAGCUUCCUUGCGAGGGGGUGGAUUUCUUUCAAGUAGCAAAUCAUUUCCUGUGUUCUUUUGAUCUCCGUCUCCCCAUCCGAGCGCCCGAGCCUUCCUGGCUUGGCUCCUUCUUCGAGGAAUUCCCAUCCCAAGCCCGGGGCUCUAAGCUGCCACUUUUGGUGGGUGAGGCACCCAGAGGGGUCCUCGGCCAGUGACCCCCGGUUCGUCACGGGCUUUCUGAAACGAGGAGAGGCUCUCUCCCAGACGAACGCAGUCCCUGCCGUCUGGUCCACCACCCUGCCUCCACCUUGGUCAGGUGCCUGCUGCGGCUGGCUCGGUGACUGUCCCAGCCACAUGCUGUCGUUGACAGAGUGACAAAAAAUGAAAGUCGAAGUGGUUUGCAGAUGCGUGGAGCGGUGGGGGCCCAUUUUAGAGGCAGCCUGGGCUCUCUCUUUACGUGUGUGUUAGGAGGCUGCUGGGUCUAGACCCACGAUAGUGACGGUCUCCUGAACCCUGUCACCGCAGUCAUCGCCAGACCUCAGCCUCACCAGGUGGUGACGCGGCUGGCGGCAGGGUGUCCCCUGCCAUACUUGCUUGGAAGGCUUCUGGGAGUGGUGUGGCCCUGCCGGGCCUCCCCGCCUCCUGUUUCUGUGAUCGCUACAGCCAGACAUGCAGGCACACUGCCACGACACCAUCACUGCCCCCCAUUGCCCACUGGACACAGCUUCUGGCCGCAGCUAUGGACUCAGAGUGGCCGAGCCCGCAGACCCUCUGAAGUUCGGAGUUUCCCGGAACACCUUCCCUAUCACCACUGACUUCCAAAUAUGACAUGUGUGGGAACUGAGGCCCAGAGAGGGGAAGUGGCUUGCCCAAGGCCACACAGGAAGAUGAGGGACCAAGAUGAGCUGGAAACUGGCUCUCUAAGCCCUGACAAAGGGGACAUGGCAGUUCGGAGAGGUCGGCGCCUCCCGGCCAGGAGGAGGAGGAGGUCGAGGCCCGAGGCAGGCGACCCUGGGAGCCUGCGCUCCUGGCGGUAACACAGCAUCGUGCUUCGAGGCCGGCAAGCCGCAGCGUCCCCUAGUGGCCACACCUGGGGAGGAGCGAGUGUCUCCCGGAAUCGCUCGCACAGGCGGGGGGCGCUGGGUAAUCUCAGCGGUGCCUCCAGGCACCUGCGGACAAGCAGGCAGGUGGACCUUCUCCUUGCUGGAGGCUUCAGAGGGGGGUUCUGCAAGGAGGUGACGCUUGGGCCGACGCCGGAGGAACCUUUAGAAUGCAGAGCGCUGUAGUGCGCCGGGAAGGGUGCAGUACUCAGCACUGCCACAGGAGGGCCUGCCGGAAUCGGGACGCUGUGCGGGGGGACUGGGGACAUCGGAAAUGAGGCUGUGACACGAUGCUGGAGCGCUUGCUUUGAGGCCUGUUUUAAGUUCACAUCAGCCCAGUGAGAGCACACGGCCAGCGACUUUCCUCCAGCCCGGCACUUUGUGACAUAGACUUCAAAUGUGGCGCCUUUCUUGUCCUGCCCCACCCCGACGCGUCCAGACCCUGCGAAUACUGGGAUGCGUCAACGGGACUGUGGAUCUGAAGAACAGAAUGCCGAUGAUCCCCAGGAGGGUCUGAAGGUUAACGGGGGACUGGAGAGAUGAAGCCGGGAGCCUCCCGCCUCCUGCUGUGUGUCCCUGGCAAGUUGCUUGGCCUCUCUGAGCCUCGUUUCGUGCAUCUGUUGAGUGUGAAUGCAAAUACUGGCCCUCAAUAGGUGCUUAGCUCCCGGCUGUUGGACGAGAGGCUGGGAGAGGUGUUGCAGGUGGAGUCUCGGCGGGCAGGGGAACCGCUCAAGACCAAUUCUGUUGCUCUCUUCUUGGCCAGGACAUGUAGCACACAGUAGGUGCCUCAUAAAACCUUGCUGACCUGUUCGGGUGCAAGACUCCUCAAUCUAAGGCUUCCUUUUCCCUUUCCUUUA